rnacentral:rRNA from 1 species
AGAGUUUGAUCCUGGCUCAGGAUGAACGCUAGCGACAGGCCUAACACAUGCAAGUCGAGGGGCAGCGGGGAGCGAAGCUUGCUUUCUCCGCCGGCGACCGGCGCACGGGUGAGUAACACGUAUGCAACCUGCCCCUGUCAGGGGGACAACCCGCCGAAAGGCGGGCUAAACCCGCGUACAUGCCACCGGGGCAUCCCGGAGGCAGGAAAGGCUUCGGCCGGACAGGGAUGGGCAUGCGGCGCAUUAGGCAGUAGGCGGGGUAACGGCCCACCUAACCGACGAUGCGUAGGGGUUCUGAGAGGAAGGUCCCCCACACUGGUACUGAGACACGGACCAGACUCCUACGGGAGGCAGCAGUGAGGAAUAUUGGUCAAUGGUCGGGAGACUGAACCAGCCAAGCCGCGUGAGGGAGGAAGGUACAGAGUAUCGUAAACCUCUUUUGUCAGGGAACAAAGGCGGGGACGUGUCCCCGGAUGAGUGUACCUGAAGAAAAAGCAUCGGCUAACUCCGUGCCAGCAGCCGCGGUAAUACGGAGGAUGCGAGCGUUAUCCGGAUUUAUUGGGUUUAAAGGGUGCGCAGGCGGUCUGUUAAGUCAGCGGUCAAAGCCCGGGGCUCAACCCCGGCCCGCCGUUGAAACUGGCAGUCUCGAGUUGGAGAGAAGUAUGCGGAAUGCGCGGUGUAGCGGUGAAAUGCAUAGAUAUCGCGCAGAACUCCGAUUGCGAAGGCAGCAUGCCGGCUCCACACUGACGCUGAGGCACGAAAGCGUGGGUAUCGAACAGGAUUAGAUACCCUGGUAGUCCACGCAGUAAACGAUGAAUGCUGGCUGUCCGGGGGGAUUGACCCCUGGGUGGCGAAGCGAAAGCGAUAAGCAUUCCACCUGGGGAGUACGCCGGCAACGGUGAAACUCAAAGGAAUUGACGGGGGCCCGCACAAGCGGAGGAACAUGUGGUUUAAUUCGAUGAUACGCGAGGAACCUUACCCGGGCUCAAACGGGGAGUGACUCAGGCAGAGACGCCUGUUUCCCACGGGACACUCCCCGAGGUGCUGCAUGGUUGUCGUCAGCUCGUGCCGUGAGGUGUCGGCUUAAGUGCCAUAACGAGCGCAACCCCCGCGCGCAGUUGCUAACAGAUAACGCUGAGGACUCUGCACGGACUGCCGGCGCAAGCCGCGAGGAAGGCGGGGAUGACGUCAAAUCAGCACGGCCCUUACGUCCGGGGCGACACACGUGUUACAAUGGGUGGUACAGCGGGAAGCCAGGCGGCGACGCCGAGCGGAACCCGAAAUCCACUCUCAGUUCGGAUCGGAGUCUGCAACCCGACUCCGUGAAGCUGGAUUCGCUAGUAAUCGCGCAUCAGCCAUGGCGCGGUGAAUACGUUCCCGGGCCUUGCACUCACCGCCCGUCAAG